UACGGAGGGGGCUAGCGUUGUUCGGAAUUACUGGGCGUAAAGCGCACGUAGGCGGCUUUGCAAGUCAGAGGUGAAAGCCCGGGGCUCAACCCCGGAAUAGCCUUUGAGACUGCAUCGCUUGAACAUCGGAGAGGUAAGUGGAAUUCCGAGUGUAGAGGUGAAAUUCGUAGAUAUUCGGAAGAACACCAGUGGCGAAGGCGACUUACUGGACGAUUGUUGACGCUGAGGUGCGAAAGCGUGGGGAGCAAACAGG
rnacentral:rRNA from 2 species